rnacentral:rRNA from 1 species
UACGUAGGUGGCAAGCGUUGUCCGGAUUUACUGGGCGUAAAGGAUGCGUAGGCGGACAUUUAAGUCAGAUGUGAAAUACCCGAGCUUAACUUGGGUGCUGCAUUUGAAACUGGGUGUCUAGAGUGCAGGAGAGGUAAGUGGAAUUCCUAGUGUAGCGGUGAAAAUGCGUAGAGAUUAGGAAGAACACCAGUGGCGAAGGCGACUUACUGGACUGUAACUGACGCUGAGGCAUGAAAGCGUGGGGAGCAAACAGG